rnacentral:rRNA from 1 species
AACGAACGCUGGCGGCGUGCCUAACACAUGCAAGUCGUGCGAGAAAGUUCCUUCGGGAGCGAGUAAAGCGGCGCACGGGUGAGUAACACGUAGGUAACCUGCCCCCCAGUCUGGAACAACUAGAGGAAACUCUAGCUAAUGCCGGAUGAGACCACGAUCCCUUCGGGGGUUGCGGCCAAAGAUGGCCUCUACUUGUAAGCUAUCGCUGAGGGAUGGGCCUGCGGGCCAUUAGCUUGUUGGUGAGGUAACGGCUCACCAAGGCUGUGAUGGCUAGCUGGUCUGAGAGGAUGACCAGCCACACUGGGACUGAGACACGGCCCAGACUCUACGGGAGGCAGCAGUGGGGAAUAUUGCGCAAUGGGCGAAGCCUGACGCAGCGACGCCGCGUGGGUGAUGAAGGCC